rnacentral:misc_RNA from 1 species
GAAAAAAAAAAAAAAAAAACCUCAUUUUUACAGAAAGCAGAUGGCAGUGACUCGUAUAAUUAAAUAGAAAUCUCAAAAUAUACAAGUGGUAUUGCAGGUUCAGAUGCUCGUGUCUAUUUACAUCUCUAAUGCAAGAUAUGUGAUUGCAGAGCCAGACAUUCAAAAUUCAAUGCCGCCAUUUAUCUGAACAGAAACUGAUGGUUGACUAACAUCAGAAAGUGGGCUAUCAACUCUCACAACGAUUCCUGUGCUCCCCACAUUACCAUUCCAUUUAGACCGCCCAAUCUGCAUUAAGGGUACAUAAAAUACAUCAACAAACAAAAAAUUAUCCAAAAAAAGAUUAAAUGAAUUCCAGGGUGACAUGGAAUCUCCAUUUAGGAGGCUGAAUCUAUAUAACAUUAAAGUACUUCGCUCCAGACAAGUUCAUCCAGUAAUUUGAUGAUUAUCGUUAAAAUAUACGUUCAUUAAAAAUCUGUAGCCCAAGACCUAAGCACAACACAUAAGACACAAAUCCAUUGCAAACUGCAAGACAGUACCAAAAGCCCUUUCCACGAGGCAUUCACCAGUACUAACUUGAAUAAUCUCGUUCAAAUUCACUUUGCAUCCAUUCAAAGAUUUUUUGAGCCAUCAGAAAGAAAUGCCCUGUUAAAACUACGCAAUGCAGUUGUUGUUCACAACGAUGGUGUGAUUACUACAUCAAAGCUAUUCAGGAGUAGGAAAUGGGUUUAGUUAGUACUUUCUUUAAUUGUUUGUAUAACAAAAAUAAUUGAUAAGCAAUCACUCUACGAUUUGGAGGCAUUCUAAUAUAAGAACUAUGAAGUUGUGCGAGCUCUCCAAUUACAUUUUGACCCUACUAGUUCAAACCUAUGGCUUCCAUCUUAGUUGUUCAAUUACAUUAAUACUAGGCCAGACAGUCGUGUGUGCUGACAUGCUUUUGGCUUUUCAAAUUUUUUUCCGCCAAGCUGCUUCUCAGGAGCAAUGGUUUUGGACAAGCUGGAAACCCCGCCCAUGGUCCAGGAGAAAGGGGGAACAGAAAAGCAGGUGGGCAAAAGCAAGGCCGCUACAAUGCCAAACACCUACCGAGUCUCAUUUUUUGCUACAUUUGUUCUAUAGAAGAAAAAAAAAAAUCUUGUGUGCUAUGUUUACAUUGUUUAUUUUAUAAAUUACAAUUUUACAGUAUGGCAGUCAUGGAAAUAUGCUACCCAGAAAUAACAGUCAACUACCCAAACUACAGUUUCUCGUUUAAGGAAAAAUAUUUGCUGUAACUGAAUACAUUUCAAUGGCAUGGAGGUUUCCAUCAUGAGAACUGGAUGGCUUUUCUUCAGAGACUUGCAUUAUGUUUUUGAACAAAAGCAGCAGCGGGUGAAAAAAGUGAAAUCAUUUUUGAAGUCAAAUUGAUUUUUACCCAUCUAGUUUGAUUGAAUGACAAAAAGAGGAAGGAAAAUUGAGAAGAAGAGACGGGGAAGGGGGUGGAUGGGUGGGUAGGGGAAGAAGGUAAAGAUCUACAAGCAAGCCCAAGAGCAAGUAGAGAUGUGAUCAAGUUAAUAGAUACACCGACACUAAAUAAAUAGAGCAAACUUACAGACAGUGAUGCAAAUACUGAAGGGUAUGUCAAGAAUGCACAGCCACAUAUCAGAUUUAGUUGCUCAUUCACUGAAUGAAUAAGUUCUGCCUGCACCCCAGGAUUGUUUCCGCCAAAAGUUGGGCACAAACUGGCAAAGUGUAAAACCGAACAAUGUUAAUUACAUGGUGAUCUGAACAAGGAAAAGCAAAAUGAAAGACAAAAUAGAUGCAAUAAAUAACUCCUAAAGACUAUGCUUCAAUUGAACACACAACUAGUAUGUUGUUAAAUUGGGGAAAAAAUGGCAAUAAAGCAAGAAUAAAAACAGAUUCUGCAUUAAACUCGACCAAUAUUGACAUCUAUGUUAGUAUGUUACUUAACUCGCGACUUCAUUGUUACAUACUCAUGUCACAUACUUGUCAAGACACCUUUUACUAGUAUAAUGCUAUCCAACAGGCCCAGUUCCAACUCCAAUAACAAUGAUAAGACCAGGCAGCUGUCACAGCCCCAUGAAAGAUUUGGUUCUCCUAAAGCCAGUUAAAUUGUACAGUGCAAAAAUCUUAUUUAUACUGAGCUAAUUUGACUGCAAGUGAACAGGAAAGAAUAGAGAGAAAGCAAAUGCAAGAUCAGGCUGCCUGAUUCAAAGGACCCUGGAUGAGGCUUAAUAAUGGGCCACUUCAAAGCAGAAUUCUGUUAGCUAUUAGGCUAGGAACCUGGUAGCUAUUAGGCUAGGAACCUGGUAGUCGAGUGCCCCUCUCAUAGCAUAGGAAGUCAAGGAUGCAAAACCAGAACCUCCCUUCUCUCCUUUAAGAGUUUCCAAUGUAUUAGAAACAAAAUUAUUAAAAAGAAGAACAAGGAGAUUUCUGUUAUAGAAGAUGUACCAGCAGCAUUACAAAGUGUGGAUUUUUUCCCUACAGGUCAGAUUUGUCUAAUGCUAGAUCACAGAAGGCAACAAACAUUCUCUGCGUCCAAAUUUUUAGUUCCUAAGGCAAAAUGCAGUAAAUCUGGAAAUGUUCAAAUCAGCAUAAACUGAAUACUGUACCAGAAAAGCUAAGCACAACUAUGGCCGAAACUGACCCAAUAAGCAGCGUAUAUUGACUAAUCCCAGAGCUCCUUUCUUUUUUUCUUUUUCUUUUUGUUUUCAUUUUUAACUAUUUACUAUCAGAAAUGCUUACACACACACAAAAUUUUGUUAUUCAUCAAGCAUCUACUUUCUUUCCUCCCUGCUUAAAAUACUAAGAACCAGAUAAACAUUUAAUCUCAGGGUGCAAAUAUAGCAUUGGAUGUAACCAUUGACAAAAAGAACCAUAAGACAACACUGAAAAGAGAAUAAAAUAUGGUAUUUAGACCAUUCAAGAAGUUAUGGCAUAGCUAGUAAUGCAAAUAUCAUAAACCAUAUUCUUUACAGGUUAUUGCAGGACUUAAAAGGCCAUAGUCAAUGCAACCAUUCUGCUCAUGUCAUCCAUAUGUCCCAUUGUGCCACAUGGAGAAAAGGAAUAAUGACGUGACAUUAUAAACAUAAAAGUAAACCUGAAAAGUUACCUGAACUGAACUGUAGGCCUCACCAUUAGGCCUGAUCUUUGCCAUGCUAAGGCUUGAGCAAAACCUAAUGUAAAUGAUUUGUCAGGCCAUUGUACCAUUGGUGUGAUGCGUGUACCCCACUUGUUCUGUUAAGACAUUUUAAAAGAACCUUUUUUACAAAUACAUGAAACUCAUUAAAAUUAUUUAGAUUUUGCAUGCAAGUCCAUUCCAAACUAAAUACCAACAAAAUUCUCAAAGAUUGUUUCUGGAUAAGUGCUUGAGGGGAAUUAAUUGAACUUAAAUAGUUUCAGUGUUGAUAAUGCAUAUAUUUUCUUUAGUUAGGUAUUAAUGAAUGCGUACUGCUAACUUAUUUGACCAUUAAUUUGAAAUAAUUAUUAAAAAAAAAGUAAUUUCAAAUGUACACUAUUUUAACACUUGGAUUAACCAUAUCGAUGCAGUCCAAGAGGACUCCAUUUAGCAAUUAUGUUAAUUUAAAAUUUCAUUUUAAAAUUAGGAAUUGAAGUAGCAGUUUAUUUUGUUUAGCAAGUUUGAGUUCAUUUAGUAUUCCUACUAUUGGUUUAAUAGUCCCAAAUAGUAUUUCAUUAAUAUUUUCCUUAUUUUGGGAUUCCUAAUCUUAUGAGUGUCCUCUAGGUAUUUUACUAGAGAAGAGUAUAUUAUGAUUAUAAUUGACAAUUGAGAAUUUGUUUCUCUAGUCUCUACCCAUUGUGCUCUUGUUCUAAAUCACAUAUAUCUCUCUAGCUUCUAAAUGACACAAUUUAUACUAAAAUAAAUAUUAGAUUUCAAAAUAUCUCCAUCCACAUGCAACCUAAGAUUAUCUUGAAAUCAUCAAGAACCGGUCAUCUAUCAUAACCUGACCUUAUGAGAAAAGCUAAACCUCAUUUCUCCUGGAUAUUGACCCUGAGCUUGGAGAAGGCCCCCAAAAAGGGGUAGAAAAGCACUUGUAGUCAGCCCCUCACCUGACACAUAGGUAAACUGACCAUUUGGAAACUGCAAAUCCACGAAUGAACAUGCCAAAGGAUUAAGACAGAGCAUUGACAUUAACAGCCACCUUCUAUGCUUUGACCAUACAGCAGGACACAGAGAAUGCAUCCCAUUCUGAAAAGACCAAAAGGAAAGGUCUUCACAAAUAAAGCACCAAGCAAGAAACAUCUAGAUGCAAAUAUGUGUAUAAUAUAAUGCAAAGCAUUUCUCAGUAAAAUCUAGGGAGUACAAUCUUGACAGAUGACAUCUUAGAUGUAAAAAAUGCCAAUAGCAAUGUUAGCAUAGCAACAUAUGCACCACAAGGCAACUAAUAUAUAUACAGAAGAAGUAACAAUGCAAAAUUGUUACUACAAUGUUAAGCGAAUAAAUUAAGCUACCCAAUAACAGGGUAUAGAGGUAAAUCAGUAAAACAAUUAUGAGAAAGCAGACCGCUAAUGUUCAGUGAGUACUUCAAGCCCUUAUCUUUGGAGGCCUAUUCUUUUCAACCUUCAGAUGAAAUCCAGGGCUCAAGAGGAUGUACAUUUUUUAGGACAGGCAGGUAAAAGGAUAUCCGAACACUUUGUAUCUUCUGCACGCUCACCUCCAAAUACAUUAUAUUUUUCAUUUUACAACCACUCUGGCUAAAAUUGAUCAUUACCUUCCUAUCAUAACCAUACCAAAGCAAGUGUUGCUUUGACAGAUGAACAGGCAGAAGAAGUGUCGAGUCACGAACAAAUAGUAAUGGUCCAAGCUGGAACAGAAAGAGCGAUGAAUUAUCAUUUCCUGAUGUGGAACUGCCAUGUGAUGCCUCAACUCUCCAUAAAUCUCCCCUUGCAACCAAAGAACUCUCUAUAUUGUUGUUUCUACUGUCAUAAGUUGAUGUGAUAUUUAUGACCCCCUGUGAUUUACCAAGAUACCCCACGGAUUUCAAAUUAAACCCACCCGUUUCUUCAUCUGAUGAACCAUCCAGCUUACCGCCAGUAGCAUUCUCCACAAAUCCAUAAUCCCUCAACCCCUCGCUCACCAACCCCAAGUCGCCCUCCAUACCCAACCCAAUAUUACUCCUUUUACCAUCCAUCCUCACCUCCAUCCCAACACUCUCCUCCUGCCUAAAAGGCACCGGCAACAUCCUAAAUAACUGCUGCACUAACCCAUUCAAGCACGCCCCAAAAUCUGCACCAGCUUGGCAAAUUCUGUUUCCAAUAUCGAAAAUUGCAGAAACCCCAUUUAUCCCAGUAUUAUCAGCUAAUACUCCAAAAUCCCUUCCAUUAAAACUGUGGCCUGGGAACUCCAAAUCAAAAAGCUUCGAUUUCUGAGGGUUGGGCCAGUGAAAAGCUGGCGGGUUGGUCAUAUGGGAUUGAAUAAGGCCCGUAAAUCCCUGCGCCAGCCGGUCUGCAAGAUCCUGGCCAUGCCGCUGCACUUCCUCCCAAGCUUCAAACGAUCUUUCCACAGACAUUUGGCGAUAGAAUUCAACAAAUCAUGAGAUCACCACAAAAGGUUUUUGACAAAAUUUGCAACAAAAAGGAGGGAGUUGUCCGUCACCGACAGAAAUACAGUUCUUAGAUGGGUUUAGUGCUGAUAGUCUAUUAGGCAAUAGUGUUAUUUUGGGAAAGAAAAAAACACCGAACUUAACGGUAUUGCUUUUCUAAAAACUACAAAAUAAGGAAAUCUAAAAACCUCAGCAAACAAAAAGCUACGGAUUUGCAGAAACACAGAAAUAAAUAAGAAAUUAAUUACUAUACAGUUUUUUUUCUUAUUUUUCCUUUGCUUUAAGCAAAUCAACAAGAAUUAUCGAAAACGAAGGGAAGAUUGAAGGGGGAAACAAAGAUGAAAUUAGGGUUUGGUUAGUAGGAAGAAACAGAAAUUGAGAAUAACUUUGUGACGAGAAGAGAUGGAUCGAAGAAGGAUUUUAUAUGAGUGGAAGGUUGAGGAUUGAGCAUUUUUCUAUUUCGCAUAUGGGAAGGGACUGACUGAAUUUAGAGAGAUAAAGACGAAAAUGUGCGUAAGGUUGGCGCCAGGAGGCUGAACGUUUCCAAAGUGCACGGGAUGCGUAGUGCGCACAUAGAUUGCUUUACAUCCUGCCACGUUGAUGAGGAGAAACCGCCUGUGGUUGUCUCGAUGGAGAUUUUUUUUGCAGAAUGCAGAUUCUGC